rnacentral:lncRNA from 1 species
ACAGCCUCCAAAGACAGCGCCAAAGUGGCUGGGGCCAAGCGUAAAGGAGUGCACUGCAUCAUGUCCCUGGGAGUGCCAGGCCCGGCCACCUUGGCUAAGGCCCUCCUCAAGACUCAUCCUGAGGCUCAACGGGCCAUUGAAGCAACUCCCCCGGAGCCUGAACAGAAGCGCAGCAAGCCGAACCUGGGUCUCUGAGCACAGGUGGGAAAUGGAGGGCACAGCGUACGGGUGCUGGCUGCGCAUUUCUUGGUGAGCCUGGGGUUCUUCUAGGCUUGCCAAGUGUCCUUGCCCCUUUGAGUUCAUAAAGAGUCCCCUCCGUA